UAACUGGAGAGUUUGAUCCUGGCUCAGAAUGAACGCUGGCGGCGUGCUUAACACAUGCAAGUCGAACGAGAAAGGGAUUGCUUGCAAUCCUGAGUAGAGUGGCGCACGGGUGAGUAACACGUAGAUAAUCUACCUUCAAGCCUGGGAUAACUAUUCGAAAGGAUGGCUAAUACCGGAUAAAGUUUAUUGACACAAGUCAAUUUAUGAAAGAUUGCCUCUUCUUGAAAGCAAUUGAUUGGAGAUGAGUUUGCGGACCAUUAGUUAGUUGGUAGGGUAACGGCUUACCAAGACUACGAUGGUUAGCUGGUCUGAGAGGACGAUC
rnacentral:rRNA from 1 species